rnacentral:rRNA from 1 species
UGGCGAACGGGUGAGUAACACGUGGGCAAUCUGCCCUGCACUCUGGGACAAGCCCUGGAAACGGGGUCUAAUACCGGAUACUGACCCGCUUGGGCAUCCAAGCGGUUCGAAAGCUCCGGCGGUGCAGGAUGAGCCCGCGGCCUAUCAGCUUGUUGGUGAGGUAACGGCUCACCAAGGCGACGACGGGUAGCCGGCCUGAGAGGGCGACCGGCCACACUGGGACUGAGACACGGCCCAGACUCCUACGGGAGGCAGCAGUGGGGAAUAUUGCACAAUGGGCGCAAGCCUGAUGCAGCGACGCCGCGUGAGGGAUGACGGCCUUCGGGUUGUAAACCUCUUUCAGCAGGGAAGAAGCGCAAGUGACGGUACCUGCAGAAGAAGCGCCGGCUAACUACGUGCCAGCAGCCGCGGUAAUACGUAGGGCGCAAGCGUUGUCCGGAAUUAUUGGGC